UGGCUGCAGUCGAGGAUCUUCGGCAAUGGGCGCAAGCCUGACCGAGCGACGCCGCGUGCGGGAUGAAGGCCUUCGGGUUGUAAACCGCUGUCGUAGAGGAGGAAAUGCAGGAGGGUUCUCCCUUCUGUUUGACCUAUUCUAGGAGGAAGUACGGGCUAAGUUCGUGCCAGCAGCCGCGGUAAGACGAACCGUACAAACGUUACUCGGAAUUACUGGGCUUAAAGGGUGCGUAGGCUGCGCGGAAAGUUGGGUGUGAAAGCCCUCGGCUCAACCGAGGAAUUGCACUCAAAACUACCGUGCUUGAGGGAGACAGAGGUAAGCGGAACUCAAGGUGGAGCGGUGAAAUGCGUUGAUAUCUUGAGGAACACCGGUGGCGAAGGCGGCUUACUGGGUCUUUUCUGACGCUGAGGCACGAAAGCUAAGGUAGCAAACGGGAUUAGAUACCCCGGUAGUCUUAGCUGUAAACGAUGAGCACUUGAUUGGAGGGUCCUCCAUAGCCUUCCAGUCGUAGCGAAAGUGUUAAGUGCUCCGCCUGGGGAGUAUGGUCGCAAGGCUGAAACUCAAAGAAAUUGACGGGGGCUCACACAA
rnacentral:rRNA from 1 species